rnacentral:rRNA from 1 species
GAUCCUGGCUCAGGAUGAACGCUAGCUACAGGCUUAACACAUGCAAGUCGAGGGGCGAUCAGAAAGAAAGCUUGCUUUCUUUGCUGGCGACCGGCGCACGGGUGAGUAACACGUAUCCAACCUGCCCUUUACUCGGGGAUAGCCUUUCGAAAGAAAGAUUAAUACCCGAUGGGAUAAUGAUUCCGCAUGGUUUCAUUAUUAAAGGAUUCCGGUAAAGGAUGGGGAUGCGUUCCAUUAGGUUGUUGGUGAGGUAACGGG